UUGAAACAAGUCGACUCCUCAAUAUCAGAACACGGGCAGCGGGCAGACUGACCGAAGUACCCCCGAGCACUUGAGUGAGAGAAUAUAAAUCCUUGAUCUCUUUCAAAGGGUUAAAGCUCUCUCCCUCCCUCGGCCCCCUCUUCCAGUCUCUCUAGGGUUUUGAUUUGGGCUUUUACGCCCUCUUAACACCGAGCCGGCUAGUAUUUUCUUUCUAGUACCUGGUUUCUCAACAUAGAGUCCUUGGUGUUUCAUAUAUAGAGUACAAGGUAAGUGUUUUCUUUCCAUUAACGAUAGUUUGAAUAAGUAUAUAUAGAUCAUUUUCUAAUACUAAUAGUUUAAAACAGUACCUGCUUUGGGUUUGUUUCUUCAUUAAAACUAGGUUUUGCUAAAUGAUCUCUAGAUGGUAUCUGGUUGAAGAAAAUCUCCAUUUGGGUUUUGAAAGAUUGAGCAAGGCAGUGAUCUCCAUAUCUAGUGGGGUUUUUAUGUUUAGAAGUAGCUAGCACAGUUGUAGUGAUCUUGAAAAAGCUGUUUGAAAAGAGUUGACGGGAAAAAGGUUUUUUAGUUUGUUCUUGCCAGUUUUAAGUACUACCUGUUUCUUCUGUACUUCAACUCUAUAUCCCUACCAGUUAAUUUGCCACACACAUCUAGAUACCAAAGUUCUUAUACUCCUUGCUCUCGAAUAUGGCUCCAAAUGGUAGAAAAAGAACAAGAGCAAAAACAACAAGAAGAACCCAGUACAAGAAGCGGGUUAUGAAGCCCAAGAGCAUUAAAGAAGCUUCAAUAAUUGAGGAUUUGCCUUCUAACUCUUCCACCACCACCACAAGCUGCAAUGGUUGUUCAAAGAUUGAUGGCUUAGAUUUUGAGGGUGUUGAUAUCUCUGCAAGUGCAUGCUCUACUCCAAAAGCUGAGAGGUUUCGGAUACCAGAGAUUCAAACAUGUCCACCUGCACCAAGGAAGGAAAGGAUAAUAUCAAAUUGCUCUUUGCAAAGGAGACCGAUUGCUUUUUUUGCUCCUCCGGAUUUGGAGCUCUUCUUCUUCUAUGCAAUUCACGAUGUAUCGGUUUAAAUGUUUGUUCAUAGGAUAUGAUCAAGAUCAUUCAGUAGUCUUAAGAGGGUACACUAAUAUACUAAAUUUAGCUGGGGCUGUCCAGCUAAAUUUAGCCUUACGCAUGCUGUUCCCUGAGCUUUUAUAUCUUUUUUAGGUGUAUUGCUGACUUUUGGAGUUUGGAGAGUGCAAAUCAAUGGCUUGAAUUAAGGUUCCUGAGUGUGAAAUUAUCAGUUUUUGUUUGUUUGGUCAACCUGGGAAUGUAAAGGCACGAGUGACUUCUGCUUUUAUGUUCAAAUGAAGUCCCUCCCUGAUCCACUCUU